rnacentral:rRNA from 1 species
GGAUUGCCCUAGUAACGGCGAGUGAAGCGGCAACAGCUCAAAUUUGAAAUCUGGCUCUUUCAGAGUCCGAGUUGUAAUUUGCAGAGGGCGCUUUGGCGUUGGCAGCGGUCCAAGUUCUUUGGAACAGGACGUCACAGAGGGUGAGAAUCCCGUACGUGGUCGCUAGCCUUCGCCGUGUAAAGCCCCUUCGACGAGUCGAGUUGUUUGGGAAUGCAGCUCUAAAUGGGAGGUAAAUUUCUUCUAAAGCUAAAUACUGGCCAGAGACCGAUAGCGCACAAGUAGAGUGAUCGAAAGAUGAAAAGCACUUUGGAAAGAGAGUCAAAUAGCACGUGAAAUUGUUGAAAGGGAAGCGCUUGCAGCCAGACUUGCCUGUAGUUGCUUAUCCGGACUUUUGUCCGGUGCACUCUUCUGCGGGCAGGCCAGCAUCAGUUUGGGCGGUUGGAUAAAGGUCUCUGUCAUGUACCUCCUUUCGGGGAGGCCUUAUAGGGGAGACGACAUACAACCAGCCUGGACUGAGGUCCGCGCAUCUGCUAGGAUGCUGGCGUAAUGGCUGUAAGCGGCCCGUCUUGAAACACGGACCAAGGAGUCUAACAUCUAUGCGAGUGUUUGGGUGUCAAGCCCAGACGCGUAAUGAAAGUGAACGGAGGUGGGAACCUUUUAGGUGCACCAUCGACCGAUCCUGAUGUCUUCGGAAGGAUUUGAGUAAGAGCAUGGCUGUUGGGACCCGAAAGAUGGUGAACUAUGCUUGAAUAGGGUGAAGCCAGAGGAAACUCUGGUGGAGGCUCGCAGCGGUUCUGACGUGCAAAUCGAUCGUCAAAUUUGGGCAUAGGGGCGAAAGACUAAUCGAACUAUCUAGUAGCUGGUUCCUGCCGAAGUUUCCCUCAGGAUAGCAGUAACGUAUUCAGUUUUAUGAGGUAAAGCGAAUGAUUAGAGGCCUGGGGGUUGAAACAACCUUCACCUAUUCUCAAACUUUAAAUAUGUAAGAAGUCCUUGUUACUUGAUUGAACGUGGACACUUGAAUGUACCGUUACUAGUGGGCCAUUUUUGGUAAGCAGAACUGGCGAUGCGGGAUGAACCGAACGCGGGGUUAAGGUGCCAGAAUAUACGCUCAUCAGACACCACAAAAGGUGUUAGUUCAUCUAGACAGCAGGACGGUGGCCAUGGAAGUCGGAAUCCGCUAAGGAGUGUGUAACAACUCACCUGCCGAAUGAACUAGCCCUGAAAAUGGAUGGCGCUCAAGCGUAUUACCCAUACCCCGCCGCCGGGGCAGAAUUUAUGCCCCGGCGAGUAGGCAGGCGUGGAGGCUCGUGACGAAGCCUUGGGGGUGACCCCGGGUCGAACGGCCUCUAGUGC